AUGAUUAUCUACCGGGACCUCAUCAGCCACGAUGAGAUAUUCUCCUACAUCUACAAGAUCAGGGAGGUUGUGAACAGGCUGUACCUGGAGGUGGAGGGGAAGAUGUCUGUAGGAUAGAAGAUAACGUUGUUGACUCGCUCAUUGGUGGAAAUGCAUCCACUGAAGGCCUCUAGGGCGAAGGUACAGAAAGUACAGUAAUCACUGGUGUUGAUAUUGUCCUGAACCGUCACCUCCAGGAAACAAGUUUCACAAAAGAAACCUACAAGAAGUACAUCAAAGAUUAUGUGAAAUCAAUCAAAGGCAAACUUGAAGAACAGAGACCAGAAACAGUAAACCUUUUAUGACAGGGGCUUCAAAACAAAUCAAGGACAUACUUGCUAAUUUCAAAAACUACCAGUUCUUUAUUGGUGAAAACGUGAAUCCAGAUGGCACGGUUGCUCUACUGGACUACCGUGAAGAUGCUGUGACCCCAUAUAUGAUUUUCUUUAAGGAUGGUUUAGAAAUGGAAAAAUGUUAACAAAUUUGGCAAUUACUUUGGAUCUAUCACCUGUCAUCAUAACUGGCUUCUGCUUGUCAUCCACACAACACCAGGACUUAAGACAAAUGGGACUGAUGUCAUCCUGAGAGCUUCAUUUAUUUUGACUGUGAUUUAUUUGGAGUGGAGGCAUUGU